rnacentral:rRNA from 1 species
GUGGGGAAUCUUGCGCAAUGGGCGAAAGCCUGACGCAGCAACGCCGCGUGCGGGAUGAAGGCCCUCGGGUUGUAAACCGCUUUCAGUGGGGACGAACCAAGACGGUACCCACAGAAGAAGCCCCGGCCAACUACGUGCCAGCAGCCGCGGUAACACGUAGGGGGCAAGCGUUGUCCGGAUUCAUUGGGCGUAAAGAGCUCGUAGGCGGUUCGAUAAGUCGGGUGUGAAACCUCCAGGCUCAACCUGGAGACGCCACCCGAUACUGUCGUGACUAGAGUCCAGUAGGGGAGCGUGGAAUUCCUGGUGUAGCGGUGAAAUGCGCAGAUAUCAGGAGGAACACCAGCGGCGAAGGCGGCGCUCUGGGCUGGAACUGACGCUGAGGAGCGAAAGCGUGGGGAGCGAACAGGAUUAGAUACCCUUGUAGUCC